ensembl:lncRNA
CCCCUCUCCUUCAACGCAGACUCUAACUCCACCCAUUCCAAGUACCUGGACGCGCAAUCAUGCACGAGCGCGAACAGAGAUGCGCGAGAGCGAGCCAGGCUAGCGAGGAACAUGGUGUCAACGUGAAACGCACUUUGGCGCUUCGUGCUCUUCCUGUCUACCUACGUGAGGAAGAUUCAGAGUUCUUCAAGACCUACAAUCAAGAAGAGGAUCCUGAUCUUAGCGAUACUUCUGUUGUCCUCCUCACAACUGGCGCGGACCCCUUUAACCCCUAACCCUUAAAUUUUCUACCAACCUGUUCAAUUUAAUGUUGUUAAAAAACACGACCCUUUGUCUUCAUGUCAUUGUUUAAAAUUUAAUAAAUAACCUAUUUUGUAUCA